rnacentral:rRNA from 1 species
UACGAAGGAUCCAAGCGUUGUCCGGAUUUACUGGGCUUAAAGGGCGCGUAGGCGGUCUUUUAAGUCAGUGGUGAAAGCCUGUAGCUUAACUAUAGAAUUGCCAUUGAAACUGAAAGUCUCGAGUGUGGUUGAGGUAACUGGAAUAUAUCAUGUAGCGGUGAAAUGCUUAGAUAUGAUAUAGAACACCAAUUGCGAAGGCAGGUUACUGAGCCAUUACUGACGCUGAGGCACGAAAGCGUGGGGAGCAAACAGG